GUAGGUGGCAAGCGUUGUCCGGAAUUAUUGGGCGUAAAGCGCGCGCAGGCGGUCCUUUAAGUCUGAUGUGAAAGCCCACGGGCUCAACCGUGGAGGGUCAUUGGAAACUGGGGGACUUGAGUACAGAAGAGGAAAGCGGAAUUCCAAGUGUAGCGGUGAAAUGCGUAGAGAUUUGGAGGAACACCAGUGGCGAAGGCGGCUUUCUGGUCUGUAACUGACGCUGAGGCGCGAAAGCGUGGGGAGCAAACAGGAUUAGAUACCCUGGCAGUCCACGCCGUAAACGAUGAGUGCUAAGUGUUAGGGGGUUUCCGCCCCUUAGUGCUGCAGCUAACGCAUUAAGCACUCCGCCUGGGGAGUACGGCCGCAAAGGCUG
rnacentral:rRNA from 1 species